rnacentral:misc_RNA from 1 species
UCCGGUUUGGCACCGGCAGUCUCCCAUGAGUCCCCGGCUUUACCCGCUGGCAACAUGGGACAGGGGUUGCGCUCGUUGCGCCACUUAAGGCAACACCUCACGGCACGAGCUGACGACGACCAUGCAGCACCUGUGCGGGCUCCCGAAGGAGGACCGUAUUUCUACGGCUUCACCCCGCAUGUCAAGCCCUGGUAAGGUUCUUCGCGUCGCGUCGAAUUAAACCACAUGCUCCACCGCUUGUGCGGGCCCCCGUCAAUUCCUUUGAGUUUUAACCUUGCGGCCGUAGUCCCCAGGCGGAGCACUUAAUGCGUUAGCGUCGGCACCGCAGGGGUCAAUACCCGCGACACCGAGCACCCAUCGUUUACAGCGUGGACUAC